GUCAAUGUAUGUAUUAAGGGUGGCCGGCCAUGCCUAUAAAUAGACCUUAUAGCUAUUUCCUAAUCUCAUUAGGAAAACUUAAAAAAAAACCUAAUUAACAAAUUUAAGAUGGAAAUUCGGCCAAGGCAUUCUAAUGGGUUGCUUGGGCCGAAUUUUUACAUAUAAUACUCCUAAAGUCUAAAAUUAAAUUAAACAAUUAAAAUUUUUACAAAUUGGGCCACUUUAACAAUUGGCCUGAUUUUCAACUAAGUAUGUUUUGACUUCUUGGUUGGGCUUGGAAUCCUCUUAUUAGGCCUUGCCUUCAAGAACUUGGGCUUGUAGUCCAUCUCCUACUGAAAUUGGCUCGUUGAUGCUCGUAACGGAGAUCUAAUGCGCUUUGGCUGCAAGAUUCGGUUUCUUGGACCAAGAUUUCCAAGAUUUGAAAUCUUGAUUUUCUUGAUUCUUGAAAUCGCUCCAAACAGCAAAAUUGGGCCAAGAUUCGGUUUCUUGAUUUUCUUGAAAACAAGAAAGUGAAUCUUGAUUUUCUCUUUCUUUCGUGUAAGCAUCUAAGGCCUUUGUGACUCGUAUCAUGAAGAUUGCCCAUCAUUGUUCUGAGACACAUAAAGAACCUUAUUGGUAAUCAUUUCCCUUUAGUUCCUUUACAGAAGACACCAUUUUCAUGACUUAAUAUACAUGCAAGGUUACCAAUUCAGACUAAAUGUUUAAAACGACAACAAAUUACCAGUUCAAGCUAAAUUUGUGUCACAUGUAUUUUCGAAUCUGCAACAAAUGUUGGAGCUCAGUUUCAAGCAUAUUUAUUCCCAGACACUUCAUACAUGGAAACAUACUAAGCUCAAUCUUCUUAAUCCACAAUAAGCAACCAAUAUAACACACAUCUCAUAACAUGCAUUUCAACAUUUAGAUACAACCAUGCUUCACCUUUCAUUACUCAUGCAUCAUUCAUCACAUGCUUGAACCCAUCAGACUCUGUACUAGACUUACUUAUUAUUCUUAACAAUAUUCACUCAAUCAUAGAUAUAUUUUACAAAUCAUUUACCUUACCUGUUAUACCCUUUAUGAUCUCGACAUCACCUUUCGAUUUGUUCCACACACAUCAAUGUAUGAACAAUACCACGCAAGAGCCAAUUUAGAGACUCACCUGACACCCACAAAUAUCAACUUGAACUCUAGAUUCAACAUUCAACAUGAAACUGCAACGACCACCAUUAAAACUCAUUCGUAUAACCUUUACCAUUAUCUCAAACCCAGAUAACCUCAUGCAAAGCUUUACUUCUUCAUCUUACUAUUCAUGCACUCUUACAAACUUAGUCCUUCAUAACAUAACACGCAGAGUCAUAAAACUUACCCAGACAUGAAACACCUCCUCAUAACAACCCAGAAUCACAACUUCCAGCUUAAGGAAGGAAGAAAUGCUUGCAAUUCCUUAAGAAUCAGAUAGUAAUACUUUUUAAAAAAUAGAGAAGAUAACUUCCCCUGUAACACCCUAAACUCGUUCUAGAUGUUAUGGCUAGAUUUGGAGAUGCUACGUAAAACAAUUGUAAAUCUCACUUUCAUUUAUUUGAAAACAUCGUGAACUUUUGUUCUUAAAAGCCCGUUUUAUUAGAAAACAUGUUUAACAUAAUUAUUUAAUUCAAAACUUUGUUUGUUUACAUUUUCUAAAUAAAUCGAAUACUUUGCAACGUAAAUUCUUAGAUUGUUAUGUUUUGGAAAACCAAGUUUGUUUCCUUGAAAACAUUGAUUGCAGGAAAAUAAUCAUUUUCAGUAAAUCGUUUUAUCAAUAUCAUGCAAAAAUCCAGAAUAAAAUUCAAAAACCGAGACAGUCCCAAAAUGUCCAAGCAGUCCAAAUUUUCCAAAACACUUAAACAAUUUAAAAUAGUUAAAGAAACGAAUUACUAAUGUAACCGAGCUCCCAUCACACCGAUCUGCCUAAGUCUGAGGAUUACCUGAAAAUAUUAGUUAAACCGAGAGUGAGUUUUGAAACUCAGUGUAUAACGAUAAACUUAACACAGUUAAAUACAUAUUAAACAGAUCUAUCAGAAACAGAUUUAAAGCAAAGUAGAGCAGAGCAAAUACAACACAGAAGCCUACCCCCAACUGCUACACACCAACUUCGUCCAUCCCAACACACCAUAUGAGUAUAAAGCACCCAUCCAUCCCUACACACCAUAUGAGUAUAAAACACGCAUCCAUCCCUACACACCACUUAGUGUCCACAGGACACUUUACAGAAUAGUUCCAACUGAGCUGCCGAAUCAAUAGGCGAUUUAACGCCUUUUAUAGAAUCACUUCCUUCACAUGUUAUUUACAACCCAACCUAGAUGCAAAUAUAGAGUAAAGAAAAUAUCAUACAUAUUCAGAGCAGAAAUUAAAUGUGACAUAGCUUUACAUGCACAACAUAACAGAUACGAACCACAUACUUAUUAUACGUAUUCAUUAUUCUUACGGACAGCAGAAUUUUUACCAACAGAUGUCCAGAUUUCAUUUCUUAUAAUAUAUUUAGUCUCAUACCGAACCUACGGAAGACCCACAGUCAAUUGAGACAACGUGUCCAGCCCUAGGGAGAAAUUCUGAACUUUGGGCCCACACGCCCGUGUGGUCCACACAACCCAAAAUAACCCAGACCGUGUGUCAACACGGUUCAGCACACGGUCUGUCACAUAGCCAUGUGUCGCACACGGUCUGUCACAUGGCCGUGUGUUGCACAUGACCUACCACAUGACCGUGUGGCGUCGACAGUGCCAAAUUUCGGCUUUCGCCGUUCGCUGUUUUCAAGGUUUCUCAUUACACACUUGGUUAUUUUUUGAUGCUGAUUCAACACGUGUAAUCCCAAAACCUAUAUUGAUAAUUAAUACAACCAAUUUCAAUAACGAUUUACGAAAAUAUAACUAAUAAUCAACCCUAGUCAAACUAAAACAACCCUUCAUAACACCACACAUUUACCAAUGAACAAACAGCCACUACGCAAAUUUUAAAUCGUUAGAGGGUCGCCCAUUGCCUCUUGUACUACUCCUAAAAAUGCAUUAAAAUUAAUACAAUAUCACUAAUCCGAUUUAACAACCCAACGUCCAACACAUCUAAAAAAAAACACGCAUAACAUACUGAACUUAAAUACUCACCUUUGGAUUUGCAGUCAGAGAAUCACAACUAUUGCUUAAAAAAAUAACAGCAGCCCAACAUUUAAAGAAAAUUCCCAAAACAAAAUCGAAAGAACAGACGAAAAGAUGAAAAUAAGAAAAACAAAAUUUUGGAAUUGAAGUUUGCGGCGUAGGUUAGGGAAAUAUCAGAUGUGG
rnacentral:lncRNA from 1 species